AUUGAACGCUGGCGGCAGGCCUAACACAUGCAAGUCGAGCGGAUGAAGGGAGCUUGCUCCUGGAUUCAGCGGCGGACGGGUGAGUAAUGCCUAGGAAUCUGCCUGGUAGUGGGGGUAACGUCCGGAAACGGGCGCUAAUACCGCAUACGUCCUGAGGGAGAAAGUGGGGGAUCUUCGGACCUCACGCUAUCAGAUGAGCCUAGGUCGGAUUAGCUAGUUGGUGGGGUAAAGGCCUACCAAGGCGACGAUCCGUAACUGGUCUGAGAGGAUGAUCAGUCACACUGGAACUGAGACACGGUCCAGACUCCUACGGGAGGCAGCAGUGGGGAAUAUUGGACAAUGGGCGAAAGCCUGAUCCAGCCAUGCCGCGUGUGUGAAGAAGGUCUUCGGAUUGUAAAGCACUUUAAGUUGGGAGGAAGGGCAGUAAGUUAAUACCUUGCUGUUUUGACGUUACCAACAGAAUAAGCACCGGCUAACUUCGUG
rnacentral:rRNA from 1 species